UGGGGAAUUUUGCACAAUGGGCGCAAGCCUGAUGCAGCGACGCCGCGUGAGGGAUGAAGGCCUUCGGGUUGUAAACCUUUUUCGCUCAUGGUCAAGCCGCAGCUUUGGGUUGUGGUGAGGGUAGUGGGUAAAGAAGCGCCGGCUAACUACGUGCCAGCAGCCGCGGUAAUACGUAGGGCGCGAGCGUUGUCCGGAAUUAUUGGGCGUAAAGGGCGUGUAGGCGGCUAGAUAAGUGUGAUGUUUAAAUCCAAGGCUUAACCUUGGGGUUCAUUACAAACUGUUUAGCUUGAGUGCUGGAGAGGAUAGUGGAAUUCCUAGUGUAGCGGUAAAAUGCGUAGAUAUUAGGAGGAACACCGGUGGCGAAGGCGGCUAUCUGGACAGUAACUGACGCUGAGGCGCGAAAGCGUGGGGAGCAAACAGG
rnacentral:rRNA from 1 species